AACAAUUAAACAUGUUCACGUAUAUUAUCCGUAUAAGUAUAGAGGAAGACGCUUAGAGUACAGAGUGCAGUUUCACAUUUUUUUUUAAGUCGGACAUAACCGCGUACAUCAGUAGUAUACGGACAGUAUACCAAUUGGUUGGAGAUCUGAUGGCACCCUCAGACAUGAUGAAGUGCACAGUGCACGGUGGACCGCAAUGCCCUAUUAUAGUAAACGGUAAUAAGGUAAAAAGGGUAAGGAAUAUGGCCUCUUAAUAAGUUAGCAAUAUGCAAAAGUAAAAAUAUACUGAAAGAUAAAUCAAUAAACAAUUUAGGACUAUGCAGAAUGACAAAUAUGCCUCUUAAUACAUACGGAUAAACAUGUGAGAAAUUAAAUUAAAAACUGAAAACAGGUCUUAACAACUAUUAUAUAAACUGAAUUAAUACGCAACAUCAACAGUCAUUUCAGACGACUGCAAAUCAAUGUUGCACUUUUGGGAGGAUGUCAUAUGCAUUGCGAAUUCUAAUGGUUGUUUGGUUUAAUCAAUUUCUCAACCUUGGCUGUAGAAAAUAGUGGUUUAUAUUUUAAUGCAAAAAGGGAUGAUAUAAACAUUCACCUGUUAACAUAAAUAUGAGGAGAAGAAAAACAGAGGACACAAAGAUAGUCAGUAGCAUCAAAUUUUACAAUUCGUGGGCAUACAUACGUAUGUACAAUAAGACAUGUGAGUACAUGUAUACUAACCUUGGUGGCAACCAUUGCAAAUCGUGAGCUUUAGAAGUGCCUGAACUAACCACCAGAAUCUGUCGGCAAUUCCAAUACAUCAACUGAGAGAUGUAAGAGCAACUGCAGCAGAACAAGUGUCUGUCGUGAAUUGGGAGCAAAAGAAGAAAGCGGCAUCAAUCAGAAGGGACUCGGUAUCAGUAGUAACUGGAUGGAAGAUGUGAGGAAGGAGGGGCGAUAAACCUACGGAGGCAACUUGGCGAGAAGCAUGGCCAGAAGAUUUGAUGUUGCCAAGUAAGGUUGGGGAAUGAGCAGUAGCAGGGUGGGUGGAUAUUAUAUAGAGACGCAACGAUUAAAGGGAG
rnacentral:lncRNA from 1 species